rnacentral:ncRNA from 2 species
AACUAAUAAAUUGUUUCUGGUGCCCGAUAUGGGAGAAUAGGGAAUUAGGUUAAAAUCCUAAGCGGUCCCGCCACUGUAAUUGGGGAAUGGCCUUACAAUUGUGCCACUCGGUUUUUCCGGGGAAGGCGUAAGGCCCGUGAUGAUCCAUAAGCCAGGAGACCUGCCAGAAACUGUCGGUAUUU